AGGCACUACGGUGCUGAAGCAACAAAUGCCCUGCUUCCAGGAAAAGCCUCUAAGCAUCAGGUAACACGAAAUCGUACCCCAAACCGACACAGGUGGUCAGGUAGAGAAUACCAAGGCGCUUGAGAGAACUCGGGUGAAGGAACUAGGCAAAAUGGUGCCGUAACUUCGGGAGAAGGCACGCUGACACGUAGGUGAAGUGAUUUACUCAUGGAGCUGAAGUCAGUCGAAGAUACCAGCUGGCUGCAACUGUUUAUUAAAAACACAGCACUGUGCAAACACGAAAGUGGACGUAUACGGUGUGACGCCUGCCCGGUGCCGGAAGGUUAAUUGAUGGGGUCAGCGCAAGCGAAGCUCCUGAUCGAAGCCCCGGUAAACGGCGGCCGUAACUAUAACGGUCCUAAGGUAGCGAAAUUCCUUGUCGGGUAAGUUCCGACCUGCACGAAUGGCGUAAUGAUGGCCAGGCUGUCUCCACCCGAGACUCAGUGAAAUUGAACUCGCUGUGAAGAUGCAGUGUACCCGCGGCAAGACGGAAAGACCCCGUGAACCUUUACUAUAGCUUGACACUGAACAUUGAGCCUUGAUGUGUAGGAUAGGUGGGAGGCUUUGAAGUGUGGACGCCAGUCUGCAUGGAGCCGACCUUGAAAUACCACCCUUUAAUGUUUGAUGUUCUAACGUGGACCCGUAAUCCGGGUUGCGGACAGUGUCUGGUGGGUAGUUUGACUGGGGCGGUCUCCUCCUAAAGAGUAACGGAGGAGCACGAAGGUUGGCUAAUCCUGGUCGGACAUCAGGAGGUUAGUGCAAUGGCAUAAGCCAGCUUGACUGCGAGCGUGACGGCGCGAGCAGGUGCGAAAGCAGGUCAUAGUGAUCCGGUGGUUCUGAAUGGAAGGGCCAUCGCUCAACGGAUAAAAGGUACUCCGGGGAUAACAGGCUGAUACCGCCCAAGAGUUCAUAUCGACGGCGGUGUUUGGCACCUCGAUGUCGGCUCAUCACAUCCUGGGGCUGAAGUAGGUCCCAAGGGUAUGGCUGUUCGCCAUUUAAAGUGGUACGCGAGCUGGGUUUAGAACGUCGUGAGACAGUUCGGUCCCUAUCUGCCGUGGGCGCUGGAGAACUGAGGGGGGCUGCUCCUAGUACGAGAGGACCGGAGUGGACGCAUCACUGGUGUUCGGGUUGUCAUGCCAAUGGCACUGCCCGGUAGCUAAAUGCGGAAGAGAUAAGUGCUGAAAGCAUCUAAGCACGAAACUUGCCCCGA
rnacentral:rRNA from 2 species